AGCUCCAAUAGCGUAUAUUUUAGUUGUUGCAGUUAAAAAGCUCGUAGUCGAAUUUCUGGUUAGAGAGGGUGGUCCGACAUCUUUGUGGGUACUUAUCCUCUCCGGCCAUCUUUGGGACUAGCCUGUCUGGCAUUGAGUUGUCGGGCUGGGGAUUCCCAUCAUUUACUGUGAGUUAAUUGGAGUGUUCAAAGCAGACUUAUGUCGUUGAACAUCUUAGCAUGGAAUAAUAAGAUAGGACAGCAGUGCUAUUUUGUUGGUUUGCGCGCCGCUGUAAUGAUGAAUAGGGACAGUUGUGGAUAUUCGUAUUCAGUUGUAAGAGGUGAAAUUCUUAGAUUAAUUGAAGACGAACUACUGCGAAAGCAUUUAUCAGGGAUGUUUUCA
rnacentral:rRNA from 1 species